GCUAACGACGCAAGUUUUUCUAUUUAGAAGUUGGCGGACCCGAGGGACCGUAAGUAUUUGGUAUUCGGAGAGUAGACGGACGAGACGGGGAAACGAUUGGACCUAACUGCCAUAAACCAAUGAAUAAUAAUUAAAGUAAACAUACAUGUGAAAAAGGUUUUAUGAGUAAGGCAAAUUUGUAAGCUGAAGAUGUGGAGAAGAAGGAGAAGAUGAAAAAUGGCGGCAGGUAAAAUAUACGCGGGCGAGAACGAAUUCGAUUUUCGAGCGCAUGCAGCGUCUGGAGAUUUUUCACCGCCGAAGGUUCGACAACAGAUUUGUAAAGCUAAUUAGGGUUCAGUACAAUCUCCUCUGUAUUUUCUUUUUCUGUUGAUUAAUGACCGAUUCAGUGAAACGUUUCUUUUUAAUGCAGCUCAGUGUCUUGCAGCGAGUAAUUUAUUUAAUCCGCCAAGUCCGGAGUCCGAAGUGAGACUGCAGUGUUAGAAGGAAAUAGAAACCUCAUUUAUAAUUUACUUAUGGUCUCCGCCUGAGUAGGUGCAGUUUCAAUUCCACUUAUGUUCACGCUAAACAUGUUGGUUUUCCUAAAAUAUAUAGUACUAGCUAUUCUCAUCAAACACUAAGAGGAAAGACA